ACCUUCUCAUCACAAGUUGGAACUAGUGGUCAACAUUGGGGCAAUGCAGCCCAAAAUAACAGGGGCCAAUAUUUUCAUGGAGGUAAGCACUACACUUCUGAUGGGUUUAAAGAUUGUAUUACAUUAUCUAAAAGUGAGAAAGUAAACCCCAGCUGUAGUUAUUAUUUUCACAGGGAAGGACAAUCCCCAUUAUGACAUGAACGUUUCAUUGCUGAACAACCAUAGAUAUUUUUCUUCUAAUUUGGCUCCCGUUCCUCCAACAGGGAGCAAGACCUGCCAGCAGAGCUCACUGGAGCAGGGAGACAUCCCGUCAUCCUUUUGGCACCUGACAAAGCUUGAGAUUCAGAUCCUGCUGAACGAUGUUAAGCAGUCGAUUAACCACAUGCAGGGGACGCUGAACACCUUGCAGGGGCAGUGUAUUGAGUUGCAGACUGCCAUAUCUAAGAUCAUCACAGCAGCCGAAGUUGCUGCACAGAGGGAGGAGAUCCUCCAAACAGCCAGUGUCCCUGCACAGAGGGAGGGGAUUCUCCAAACAGCCAGUGUCCCUGCGCAGAGGGAGGGGAUUCUCUCAGCAGCUAGCAUCAAUGCACAGAGGGAGGAGAUCCUCCGAUCAUCAGGCCUCAUCCCUGCACAGAGGGACGGGAUCCUCCAAACAGCCAGUGUCCCUGCGCAGAGGGAGGAGAUCCUCCAAACAGCCAGUGUCCCUGCACAGAGGGAGGGGAUUCUCUCAGUAGCCAGCAUCAAUGCACAGAGGGAGGAGAUCCUCCGAUCAUCAGGCCUCAUCCCUGCACAGAGGGAGGGGAUCCUCCAAACAGCCAGUGUCCCUGCGCAGAGGGAGGGAAUCGUACCAAUGGCCAGCGUCCCAGCGCACAGCGAGGGGAUUGUCCCAAAGGCUAGUGUCCCUGCUGAGAGGGAGGAGGUCCUCCGAGCAUCAGGCCUCAUGCCUGCACAUAAGGAGGGGAUCCUCCGAGCAUCAGGCCUCAUCCCUGUACAGAGGGAGGGGAUUCUUCCAGCAGCUUCUAUCACUGCGCGGAAGAAGAAGAUCCUCAGAGCAUCACACGUCACCCAUGCACAAAGGGAGUUGAUCCUCCUGAUGGCCAGUGUCACUGCGCAGAGGAAAGGACUCUUCCCAAAGGCCAGCGUCCCUGCGCACAGGGAGUGGAUCGUCCCAAAGGCUAGUGUCCCUGCAGAGAGGGAGGAGAUCUUCCUCACAACCAGUGUCCCUGUGAAGAAUGGAAACAAUCAUCCACAACCACCUCCCAUCAUCCCCAUGGUGGCACCACUGUGGAAAUGGGAUGGUGGAGCAUGUACUCCACCUGUGGAUUUCUAUUCCAAGAGAAGAGAUGUCCGACUUAGAUAUGUUGAGCAUCCUGCUAUGAUGUCCAUCACCAAGCCGGAACAUUCCGAUGCCAACCCUCAGUGCCAGACUGGCAGCCGGCCGGUGGCUGAGCCCGAGACCCCUGCUGUUCACAAUAACAGUGGAGGCUGGCUCAGCUGGGUCUUUGGGAGUGGAAGAGUUAAUAAGAAGGAGGUUCAUCUACCUGAGGACAAAGACAGAUCUAUUGUCUGGGAUCCAACUCUGCACAGAUGGGUUAACAAAACUGAGCCCAAGGCUGUGAACAAGUGUGUACCACCACCUCCACCGAUGGGGACCUAUGGAUAUCAGGGGAACACUGGCAGUGUCCCCAAAGGAGUGAAUCCUUACUCUAUGAAAGCAGCAGGUCUAUGGGGCAGCAGAUACCCUACAAUGCAUGACAAUGAUGGGACCAACUCAAAGCCUCCAAGCCAUGGGCCUGGACUGCUUCCUAGACAGCUCUCUGGCUUGCUCCCUCCUUCACACUUUGACCUCAUGGCACCAAUGGUUGUGCCACCUGACACUCUACCCUACUGAGGUAUGACUCUGGAAAAUCCUUCCAAAUUGUAUCCAUUCAUCAUUAACUGAGAUUUUACUUUAACAUAGCAAAUGGCUGAAGUAGCAAAGAUGUUAACUAUUUUUUAUUUUUGUCCAACAGGCCAUUUGCCCAGAGGGGAUUUGCCAUACAUAGAUUUUUUUCAGCAUUAAAAAUGUAUUAAAACACACUUUUAAUUAAAUC
rnacentral:lncRNA from 1 species